rnacentral:rRNA from 1 species
ACGGAAGGCAGCAGUGGGGGAUAUUGCACAAUGGGGGAAACCCUGAUGCAGCGACGCCGCGUGAGUGAAGAAGUAUUUCGGUAUGUAAAGCUCUAUCAGCAGGGAAGAUGAUGACGGUACCUGACUAAGAAGCCCCGGCUAACUACGUGCCAGCAGCCGCGGUAAUACGUAGGGGGCAAGCGUUAUCCGGAUUUACUGGGUGUAAAGGGAGCGUAGGCGGCCGGACAAGUCAGAUGUGAAAACCCUGGGCUUAACCCGGGACCUGCAUUUGAAACUGUAGGGCUAGAGUACUGGAGAGGCAAGUGGAAUUCCUAGUGUAGCGGUGAAAUGCGUAGAUAUUAGGAAGAACACCAGUGGCGAAGGCGACUUGCUGGACAGAGACUGACGCUGAGGCUCGAAAGCGUGGGGAGCAAACAGGAUUAGAUACCCUGGUA